rnacentral:misc_RNA from 1 species
CUGUCUUUAAACUUUAGAUUUUUUACUUCGUCUUUAGAACCAAUGGGUCAAAUUUAACCAAACUUGGUGCAAAACCACCUUCUGUUGAAUUGUUAAAAUAUGGAACACAAAACUCACUUCAAACGAAAGAGAGUCACUAUAAUAUGAAAAUAAGAUGGGUCUCUUCGAACUGAAUUUUAAAAAAUCAUGCAUCAGAAAUGCAAAGAUUUACAACAAAAUUUCUAGUUUAUGGUCGUGGCAUGUUCUUUGCUCAAUGCUAUUGGAUUUUUUUCUCUAAAAACAGAAAAAUAGACGGGUCGCAUUCCGGGAUAUUGCACGUUGUUUGUAUUUUUCCUAAUUUACUUUGCUAAUGUGGAUUUCCGAUUUGAAAUUGUAUCAAUCUGACUAUGGAGAGAAACAGCAGUAGAUCUGUCGCAGACUUAAUCAUGUCUCCAAAUUGUCCGCCACUAGUGCUGCACGGCCUGAUAGAUCAUUGGAAUGCCAGACGAUGGAAUAUUGAACUUUUAUCCCAUCAAGUCAAGGGGAAACUAUCCUGUAAACUUUCUCCAAAGACACACCAGAGUAACGUGAUCUCUGGGAAACACAGUGUAUCCAUGAGUUUAUUUCACUGGAAGAAUUUGCUGCAUGGGGAAAAUCAAAUGAAGAGAAAUCGAGUCCUUUAAAUAAAUAUAAAUCAGAGGACUUUUCUUGUUAUGUAGACUACAAAUAUAUGAAAGAUAUUGCAUCAGAUAAAAUUCUUAAGGAUGUGGAUUGGGGAGUGUUUGGAUUUCCCGACAGGGAUGGAAAGGAAAGUACUAUCUGGAUUGGGUCAGAAGGUUGUUAUACAAACUGCCACUAUGACAUGUAUGGUUUCAAUCUUGUAGCUCAAAUCCAGGGGAGAAAGCAAUGGAUUUUGUUUCCACCCUGGGAAACUUCCUAUCUGUAUCCAACAAGAAUUCCCUAUGAAGAAUCAAGUGUAUUUAGUGAAGUUAAUGUUAAAAAUCCAGAACUUCAACAACAUCCACAAUUUCAGAAAGCCCGCCCAUACACAGUGAUACUGGAGCCCGGGCAAGUCCUGUAUGUUCCACGUCACUGGUGGCACUUUGUGGAGAGUCUAGAGGAUUCCAUUAGUGUUAAUACAUGGAUAGAAAUGACAGAAGACUUUGAGAGCAGGGUAUCGGAAGCUGUUACAAGGUGUCUUAUUUCUCCACUAGUAGGGGCUAGGGAUGAACUGAGUGAUGAGGAAACAGAAAGUGAUUCUUGGAUAAAUCCAGGAGAGGAAAUUUUGUCCCCUGAUGCAAAUCUUCAACUCCUCCAAUUAGCCAUUUCCUUAAGACGUCACAAAACAGAAGAACAGAAAAGUUCUCGAAAAAUGUUUUGUGAAGCUGUAAAGAAUCUUCCAAUUAGAGACCAAAAUAGAUUGAUGAAAAGGAAGAGGAAGCAUAGUCAUGAAGAUGUUGGAAAUGAGUAUAGAAAAGAACCAAAAGUUUUGAGCAUGGAAACAGGAGUGGUUAAUAAACAUGGUAAGAAAGAUAACUCCAGGGAAGAAGAUUCAGAGGAACAGUUCAAGAGUUCAAGAGACUUGCAAUGUAAAACUGACAUGGAUGGUCCAUAUAUUGUAGUCGUACAAAGUGAAGUGAAAGAUGAAAGUGACGACAAUUUAAAGUCCGAUAAGAAAUCAUUUACUAGUGAUAAAAGGAAGGAAUGUGAACAGAGUAUGGAAAGUGAUAGCAGCAGUAAAGGAGACAAGAAUUUGGAGAGGACAGAUUCCAGAAGUACUCAAGAUAUUAGCCAAACAAGCUCUGUAUUAGAAGCGAGUGAGAAUAGAAGUGAAUUGUUAAGGAAGUUGGUCAAAAGUGUUACACAUCCGAAUGUUAUUCAGGAGAUAAUAAAGGAAUUACACCAUUAGCCAGCAAACUUGUUUUUAAUCAGCACAAUAAUAUUUUACAUUUGCCAGGUGAUCUGUGAAAUACUUUCUGCAUGUAACAGUUCAAAUCUAUUGAACACAGCAAAUAUGCAUGUACAUAAUACCGCAAUCAGUUUUAAAAGUUCAGG